UAGGCGGUCAGCACCACGCCGCCCGAGUCCUCCACCUCCAUCGUCAGCCGCGCAUGUCUCGGCGCCGGCCCCAGAACAAAGACCGGGACCAGCAUGGACCGGCGCGCAGGGAGGCUGUCAGCAGCUGGGCGGCGCGGCCCGAGCCCUCUUCCAACUGGAGGCUUAUCCUGUGGCUGGGAACAUUUCCUGCCUGGCUGCGAGGAGUGAGACUAAGAAACCAUACCUCAGGCUGAGGAGAGAGGCCGGGUUUGAAAUGUGUGCUCUGGGGAAGAAAAGGAGAAAAUGUGACACUCUCUCAUUUAAAGCAUCCACAUCAAAAAUUGAAGAACUGGAUUACAUUGCUGUUUACUUGGUCAAGUUACAAUAAACUUGAUUUCCUUUUGGGUCAGGUAAUCCCCUCUUAACAGCAAGGGAACGCUUCCCUCCCACACCCUCAGUGCACCACUACCAGACUCUUACCUCACUCUCACAUCCCUUUCCUCCUCCCAGUCA
rnacentral:antisense_RNA from 1 species